CAUUCCCUUAGCUCGGGUUCUUAUCCAGCAUACCCGGAAGCUACAGAGAUGGAGAGAGAGAGGAACAGAACAAAACAAACAACACGCUCAUCCACAACAUCGAUAAGCCGCUCCGUGAACUCUUGCAUCAGGGCACUGUGGUGUUAUAGAGUUUGAACGUGCCAAGAAUUCCGGAUGGACCACGCCCAAAUGGAAGUGAAUCAAACAGGUGCACAGAACUGCCAGACGACCUCCUGAGGGUGGAAGGCAACGUCUGUUCACCCAUGAACAGGAACUGGCCAUUGUCAAUCUAGUGUUGGCAAACAACACCAUCCGCCAACAUCAACUACGAGAGCAAAUCAUCGCAGAUCAUGCAACAUUCCAUACCAUCAACCAUACCAUCUGCCGCAUCUUGUGUCAACACCAACUUACGAUGAAGCAGCUGUGCGGAGUUCCAUUUGAGAGGAACAGUGUUAGAGUCAUAAGAUCUUCACUAUGACUAUG